rnacentral:sRNA from 1 species
GCCCGGCCUACCGCGACGGCGGGAAAAGGCGGUUCCUCACCGCCCUGGCCGGGCUCAUCUUUGAGGG